AAACCUGACCUAUGAGGAAAGGUUUUAAAAAAAAAAACUGGGCAAGUUUCAUCAUGAGAAAAGAAGACUGAGGGGAAAAUCUGAUAACAGGCUGUUACAGAGGAUGGUGAUCCAUUGUUCUCCACAUCCACUGAAGUGAUGGGAACAGGGGUGUGUGACUCUCUGGCUGAGACCUCUGGAGCAGCUGCCUGCACUUAUGCUAUGACCGGUGCCCUUCGUAACCUGAGACCCAGGAGGGGGAUGCAACCAGGUGACACUUUGCCUGGGAAGCGAGACUCGGAGGAGGAGCAACGGGGGUGUCUGAGGUUGGGUCGCCGGUAGCUGGGCAGUCUGCUUCUGGCCCAGGACUCCCCAAGAUGGACUUGGCUGAAAGUCACUAAUUUCUAUGCUAACAAGUUUCGUUCUACACUGUCUUCCUGUUGAAUAAUAAACCUUCUGUUAUGCUGGC